rnacentral:rRNA from 1 species
AUUGAACGCUGGCGGCAGGCUUAACACAUGCAAGUCGAGCGGAGAUGAGGUGCUUGCACCUUAUCUUAGCGGCGGACGGGUGAGUAAUGCUUAGGAAUCUGCCUAUUAGUGGGGGACGACAUUCCGAAAGGAAUGCUAAUACCGCGUACGCCCUACGGGGGAAAGCAGGGGAUCUUCGGACCUUGCGCUAAGAGAUGAGCCUAAGUCGGAUUAGCUAGUUGGUGGGGUAAAGGCCUACCAAGGCGACGAUCUGUAGCGGGUCUGAGAGGAUGAUCCGCCACACUGGGACUGAGACACGGCCCAGACUCCUACGGGAGGCAGCAGUGGGGAAUAUUGGACAAUGGGCGGAAGCCUGAUCCAGCCAUGCCGCGUGUGUGAAGAAGGCCUUUUGGUUGUAAAGCACUUUAAGCGAGGAGGAGGCUACCUGGAUUAAUACUCUAGGAUAGUGGACGUUACUCGCAGAAUAAGCACCGGCUAACUCUGUGCCAGCAGCCGCGGUAAGAC